GUAAAAGAAGGCAAGCAGAGCACAGAGUCUUUGUCCUUCAAUGCAAGCAAACAGGAAAUCUACUGCUUAGUGCCUGAAAGAAAAAUAUUUUCUAGGGCCAAAGAACUUAAAAAGGUUUUUCCAGAAGCAAGUCCAAUGCAUGCUUAUAUUUGAUUUACAGACAGAUAAGGAAAACUCUCAAAUCACAGAUCUACAUGAAGGAGACAUCUAAUCCAUUAAUUUCAGCUUGGUUUCCUAGGAUGGCAGAUUGGUUGUUUCUGUUUGUUUUCACUUGACUCCUCUGUUCAGAGCCACCACCUUUUGGCAAAGUUGUUAUCAUAUGCUGGAUGCGAUUGCUGGAAAAGAACUAUUUCCUGAAGUCUGCUAUAGCUGCUGCUAGGGAUGUCAAAAAGGGAAAAAUUUUUCCAUGCUGCUAGAGAAUAAAAGCUGCUAGAAUGUACAGUUCUGCCUGGAUGACUUACAUGGAUUUAAAUAUAUUUGAGCUCUGUUCCCUCCCCAUGUUGUUGACCGUAAUUUCAGGGUUUUUUUCUGCUGCAGGAUAUUUCUACACUGAUUGCAUAGCAUAAUGAAAGAAUUUUUUCUUAAUAUCAAUUACACAAAGAGUGAAAUAGAAGAUAACAGGAAAUAUCCACAUGGAAAUUACCCUCAACUGAAAAAAAUAUUUUGUUUUAAAGAACUGACUUACAAUUUUGUUAAUUAUGAAGUCUUUUUAUGAAUGAGGAGAAACAAAACAAGAACUAUUUUUUUUUAAUUCUACAAAAAAUUUAAUUGGGUGAGAGCAAAAAAAUUAGUUUCAGGCAUUUCCUCCAAGUUCUUAGGUCUGGCUUAAUCAGUUUCUUUUGGGAUAAGACAAAGUAUAUUAAUACUUGCAUACUAUAAACACAUGCAAAAAGAUAAUAAAAAGAAAAGGAAAAGAAAAAAAUCCCCAUCACUUUUUCAAUUUCCUGCAGUUAAAUUCUUUACAAAAAAACCCCGAUGAACAUAGUAUUGCUUUUCAUGUGCCAGUUUGGCCCAAGCUAUGUUACACCAGCUGCUUUGCUAAGUCAGGCUCUUCAUAGACGGCAAGAAAAAUGAGGAAGAUUGAAGACAGGUGAGAAGAAAAAGACAGCAAUAGAAAUCAACACAGCAGGGAGGAAAGAGCAGAAAACUUCUGUUCACACUUCAGGAAGAUCUGCAGAUGCAGCCACAAAGAUGAUGUGGUGGCUGGUGCCGUCACUUAUUUUGUCUGCAGAGGACGUCUCAGAAGAUCAAGGGGAAAAAAAAACCAAAAAACCAACCAUUAAAAAAGAAGAACUGCAGAUUUUAACAUUCAGACAGUUAAAGCCUACAGUUAAACAGUAUAGUGAUAUAUAUAUACAUAUAUCUCCUCACAUGAAGCACAUUGUGGUUAAUGAAUUUUAAUUGUAUUAUAGCUAAUACAUGUGUUUGUGAUCAUCUGUCAGAUGCCUCAAAACCGGUGACCCAAACAGAAAAUUGUUUGAUAGCUAUCAAGUUGCAAUAGCAAGGUAGAUGUUACUUGCUGUAAAAACAAGGCAAUAAAGCUGAGGGCUCUUUUGAGAUUUUAUCAAAGUCCCUUCACCUCAAAAUUCUAAUUUGUGGGAGAUUAAGUGCUCCAUUGCACUGGAUGCAUUUGUAAAGCAUGGUAAAUGGAAAUGCUAGUCAAUGGUUCAUGGUCUAAAAUAUUCAGAAAAAAUACUCUAGGCACCUAUAAAGAAAAAGAGGAAGCAAGACAACACAUCUUUCCAAAUUAGGAACUUCUUUAGCACUCAAACAGAUUUAAAUCUGAGGAACACAGAAGAUAUAAAGAGAUAAAUAAUUUAAAGGGACACAGGCAGAUCAUAACUUUUGGGUUAUUUGUCUGAUUGAUUAAUUGAUUGAUUGACUGAUUGUUUGUUGGA